rnacentral:rRNA from 1 species
GGAGGGGGCGAGCGUUGUUCGGAAUUACUGGGCGUAAAGGGCGCGUAGGCGGCGCGACACGUCAGGGGUGAAAGGCCCGGGCUCAACCUGGGAAUUGCCUUUGAAACUGUUGUGCUAGAGACCGGGAGAGGAUGGCGGAAUUCCCAGUGUAGAGGUGAAAUUCGUAGAUAUUGGGAAGAACACCGGUGGCGAAGGCGGCCAUCUGGACCGGAUCUGACGCUGAGGCGCGAAAGCGUGGGGAGCAAACAGGAUUAGAUACCCUGGGUAGUCCACGCCGUAAACGAUGUGUGCUAGCCGUUGGGGAGCUUAGCUUUUCAGUGGCGUAAGCUAACGCGUUAAGCACACCGCCUGGGGAGUACGGUCGCAAGAUUA